rnacentral:lncRNA from 1 species
AAAUAAGUGCACUAUCAGAGUGCGGGCCGGUAAGCUGCUGGGGGGUUUAUUGUCAGAGAGGAAUCCGAGGUUGAUCCUGCAAAAAAAAAAAAACAAAAAAAAACAAAAAAAAGGAAAAAAGAGAAAAAUGCCUGAACCGAGAACAAAAAAGAGGUUCGUGGUCUAUUAGGUAGAUUGAACCACAUGUCAUGGUUCACAUCUCAUCUAACAGCCACGUGUGAAUCCAUAUUCAAGAUGUUAAAAAGAAAGAUCAAACGGUCAGGUGAAAUAAU